GACGAACGCUGGCGGCGUGCUUAACACAUGCCAGUCGAACGGAAAGGCCCUGCUUUUGUGGGGUGCUCGAGUGGCGAACGGGUGAGUAACACGUGAGUAACCUGCCCUUGACUUUGGGAUAACUUCAGGAAACUGGGGCUAAUACCGGAUAGGAGCUCCUGCUGCAUGGUGGGGGUUGGAAAGUUUCGGCGGUUGGGGAUGGACUCGCGGCUUAUCAGCUUGUUGGUGGGGUAGUGGCUUACCAAGGCUUUGACGGGUAGCCGGCCUGAGAGGGUGACCGGCCACAUUGGGACUGAGAUACGGCCCAGACUCCUACGGGAGGCAGCAGGGGGGAAUAUUGCACAAUGGGCGGAAGCCUGAUGCAGCAACGCCGCGUGCGGGAUGACGGCCUUCGGGUUGUAAACCGCUUUCGCCUGUGACGAAGCGUGAGUGACGGUAAUGGGUAAAGAAGCACCGGCUAACUACGU
rnacentral:rRNA from 1 species